UGAGAUACUUUCUCUCCUCCCUGAAAACACAUGGGUGACUGAGGAUUUGUAUUUGGUCAAUCUUCUCCUUCUUGUUCCUUUCUUCCCGUGGCACUGGCCAUGCACUGUUGUGUAGAUCUGCUCUCUAGGCAUAAGUGGCAUCAGGACAAACAAAUAAUGAUGUUUCACUGGUGACAGUGUCUUGCACGUGUGGGAAGCACUGCAUGUAGCUCUGGAUGCAAGUGGAUAUAAUGGGUGGUGUUAACCUCCUCACUGCCCACCCCUUUACCAAAGGUUAUUUUUCUGGUAGCCAGGAGGACUGAAUACAAUGUGUAUCUGCUCUCUAGCUGCCAUAGCUAAGCCCUGUUUAUGUACUCUGUACUCUGAAAUCCCCUCUGCAUCUCCUCUAAUUCAUGUUUAUGUCCUUCAGGGUGGGGCUGGGCUCGCCUGUUGAGAAGACAACAGAGGUCUUCAGGAUCUGAUCCUGCAGUAUGUGGGUUCUUGUAAAGCACAUCCAACUGUGGGGCCAAAUUCGACCCUGGAGCAAGGGGCACAUUCAGCUGUUUGAAGAGGAGCUGUGGGGGUUUACACCAUGAUUGGAAUUAGCACAUAGCUUCCUGUUCAGCAGUAAAUCCCUGUGGCAGCAAGAUGAACAGGCAGGCUACUUUUUGCGUAAGGUCAGAGAGAAUCAACUCAACUGAGCUGAAUUGUUUUGUAACCCAAUCAUGCUUAAUUCGGUUACAGGAAAAACAAGGCCAGUGGAGUUUCAACCUUGUUCCUGUGCAACAUCAGGGAUCUGAUUUGUGCCGAUCUCAUAAUCGGGUGCAGACAACAAGGAAAACAAGUCCUUGCAGUGGUUUCUUUACUGAGCCUAACCAACCACAUCUGAUAAGCCAUAUAAUUUGCUGCAGCAAUUUGUGCCAAAAAUAAAAGGCACAGUCCUACAGUGCAGCACGUUUCUGAGAAAAACAGAUCUCCACCCCUUCCCUUUGUAGCAUCUUUUUUUCUCUUGCUUUUGCUUUCUCAGUGAGACUGAGCCAAUGUCUUCCAUCCCAGCUGACUGGAUCUGUGCUGCUGUUGGGGUGGCCUGACUACGCGUGAGAGCUGGAAAUUCAAGUGGAGGGGAAAGACAGUAUUAGCAGAAGCUUCAGAAAUUACCUUGAGGGAAGUUCUGUAACUGCUCUGUGUCCUGCUCCAACAUAAAGUGGAGACCAUACUUGCAGGAGGCUGAGUAUUGAUUUGUGGCUUCUGUUUGUGCACUGGGGUGGCUUAGUUCAAGUCCUUUGGUCUCAACUGCUGGUAUUUCUUGCAACGCCUUAUAGAAAACCAACCAUACCUGAGCUGCAUCAAAAGAAGCAUAACCAACAGGUCAAGGGAGAUGAUUCUGCCCCACUUCUCUGCUCUCACGAGUCCUCACCUGGAGUACUGUGUUCAGCUCUGGAGUCCUUGGCACAGGAUUGACAUUGAUCUGUUAGAGAGAGUCCAGAAGAGGGCCAUGAAGAUGAUCAGAGGGCUGGAGCACCUCUGCUACGUGGACUGGCUGAGAGAGUUGGGGUUGUUCAGCCUGGAGAGAACGGGAGACUGAAGAGACCUUAUAGCAGCCUUCCAAUAUUUAAAGGGGACCUAUAGGAAAGAUGGGGAGGGGCUCUUUAUCAGGGAGUGCAGUAAUAAGAUGAGGGGUAGUGGUUUUAAGCUGAAAGAGGGGAGAUAUAGAUGAGAUAUAAAAAGAAUUUUUUUACUCUGAGGUUGGUGAGGCAUUAGAACAAGUUACCCAGAGAAGUUGUGGAUGUCCCAUCCCUGGACGUGUUCAAGACCAGGCUGGAUGUGGCUUUCAACAAACUGAUCUAGCGGAAGUUGUCCCUGCCCAUGGCAGGGGGGUUGGAAUGAGAUGAUCUUUAAGGUUCUUUCCAACCCAAACUACUCUAUGAUUCUUUGAAACAUCUUUCAGUGAAUGUAUGUUGUUUAGCAGAUAUAUUUUAAUUUUUUUGAUGGCAAAUCAUCAACGUAUGAAGUUGAA